rnacentral:rRNA from 1 species
ACGUAGGUGGCAAGCGUUGUCCGGAAUUAUUGGGCGUAAAGAGCAUGUAGGUGGGCUUUUAAGCCCGAUGUGAAAAUGCGGGGCUCAACUCCGUAUGGCCUUGGGUACUGGAAGACUUGAGUGCAGGAGAGGAAAGGGGAAUUCCUAGUGUAGCGGUGAAAUGCGUAGAUAUUAGGAGGAACACCAGUGGCGAAGGCGACUUUCUGGACUGUAACUGACACUGAGACGCGAAAGCUUGGGUAGCAAACAG